UACGGAGGGGGCUAGCGUUGUUCGGAAUUACUGGGCGUAAAGCGCGCGUAGGCGGACCUGCAAGUCGGGGGUGAAAGCCCGAGGCUCAACCUCGGAACUGCCUUCGAUACUGCGGGUCUCGAGUCCGGGAGAGGUGAGUGGAAUUCCUAGUGUAGAGGUGAAAUUCGUAGAUAUUAGGAAGAACACCAGUGGCGAAGGCGGCUCACUGGCCCGGUACUGACGC
rnacentral:rRNA from 1 species